rnacentral:rRNA from 1 species
AUUGAACGCUGGCGGCAGGCCUAACACAUGCAAGUCGAGCGGACGAAGGGAGCUUGCUCCUGGAUUCAGCGGCGGACGGGUGAGUAAUGCCUAGGAAUCUGCCUGGUCGUGGGGGCUAACGUCCGGAAACGGGCGCUAAUACAGUAUACGUCCUGAGGGAGAAAGUGGGGGAUCUUCGGACCUAACGCUAUUAGAUGAGCCUAGGGCGGAUUAGCUAGCUGGUGGGGUAAAGGCCUACCAAGGCGACGAUCCGUAACUGGUCUGAGAGGGUGAUCAGUCACACUGGAACUGAGACACGGUCCAGACUCCUACGGGAGGCAGCAGUGGGGAAUAUUGGGCAAUGGGCGAAAGCCUGAUCGAGCCAUGCCGCGUGUGUGAAGAAGGUCUUCGGAUUGUAAAGCUCUGUAAGUUGGGAAGAAGGAAAGUAAGUUAAUACCUUGCUGUUUUGACGUUACCAACAGAGAAAGCACCGGCUAACUACGUG